rnacentral:lncRNA from 1 species
UUGAUGUUUCGGGGUUUAGGGUUUAGAGUUGAUGUUUCAUGGUUUAAGGUUUAGAGUUGAUGAUUUAGGGUUUAAAGUUAAUGUUUUAAGUUUAGAUUUAGGGUUUAGGGUUUACAUUUAGGGUUUAGAGUUGAUGUUUUAGGGUUUAGAUUUGAAGUUUUCGGGUUUUGGGUUUAGAGUUAUGUUUCGGGGUUUAGGGUUUAGAGUUGAUGUUUCAUGGUUUUGGGUUUAGAGUUGAUGAUUUAGGGUUUAGAGUUGAUGUUUUAAGUUUAGAC